UAGUAACUGCGAGUGAAGCGGGAAAAGCUCAAAUUUAAAAUCUGGCAGUCUCUGGCUGUCCGAGUUGUAAUCUAGAGAAGUGCURCCCGCGCUGGACYGUGUACAAGUCUCCUGGGAUGGAGCAUCRURGAGGGUGAGAAUCCCGUCUCUGACACGGACUACCAGGGCUUUGUGGUAYGCUCUCRAAGAGUCGAGUUGUUUGGGAAUGCAGCUCAAAAUGGGUGGUAAAUUCCAUCUAAAGCUAAAUAUUGGCGAGAGACCGAUAGCGAACAAGUACCGUGAGGGAAAGAUGAAAAGAACUUUGGAAAGAGAGUUAAACAGUACGUGAAAUUGCUGAAAGGGAAACRCUUGAAGUCAGUCACRUUGGCYGGGGAUCAGCCUCRCUYYUUUGYGUGGUGUACUUCCUGGUUGAUGGGUCAGCAUCAAUUUUGACCGCUGGAAAAAGGCUUGAGGAAUGUGGCAGCUCYGGCUGUGUUAUAGCUUCUUGUCACAUACAGCGGUUGGGAUUGAGGAACUCAGCACGCCGCAAGGCCGGGUUUCGACCACGUUCGUGCUUAGGAUGCUGGCAUAAUGGCUUUAAGYGACCCGUCUUGAAACACGGACCAAGGAGUCUAACAUGCCUGCRAGUGUUUGGGUGGAAAACCCGAGCGCGUAAUGAAAGUGAAAGUUGAGAUCCCUGUCGUGGGGAGCAUCGACGCCCGGACCAGAACUUUUGGGACGGAUCCGCGGUAGAGCAUGUAUGUUGGGACCCGAAAGAUGGUGAACUAUGCCUGAAUAGGGUGAAGCCAGAGGAAACUCUGGUGGAGGCUCGUAGCGAUUCUGACGUGCAAAUCGAUCGUCAAAUUUGGGUAUA
rnacentral:rRNA from 1 species